GCAUGCCGCGGGCCGGGCCCGGGCGGGAGCAGGAGCUCCGCGGGUCGGGCCCGGGCAGCGCCGAGCUCCGCGGAGGAUGCUGAGGGCCGGGCCCGGGCGGGAGGAGGAGCUCCGCGGAGGAUGCUGAGGGUCGGGCCCGAGCGGGAGCAGGAGCUCCGCGGGGCUGCUCCCGGCGGUCACGCAGCUGUCCGGGAGGGAGCUCCGGGAGCCCUCGCCCCCUCGGAGCCGGCCUGAGGCCGAGCUGCGCCGCGGCCCCGCGGACUUGCACGGGCAGCUGCUGGCAUGAGCUGCCAAAAUAACCAUAAUUAUACUAUCUUUGAUUUACACAGCAUCGUUUAUGUGGAUCGCGGCUGAGACCCUGCAGAGCUGCCUCCAGUUCUGGGGUGGAAAGGACGUGGAGCUGCUGGAGCGAGGGCAGAGCAGGCACCGGCAUGGUCAGAGGGAUGGAGCAGCUCUGCUGGGAGAGCUGGGAUUGUUCACCUGCAGAGGGGAAGGUUUCAGGGCCACCUAACUGCAGCCUUCCAGGACCUGAAGGGAGAUGACAGGGAAGGUAGAGAGAGACUUUACGGUGGCCUGGAGUGACAGGACACAGGGGAUUGGUUUCAAACUGAAAAGAGAGUGGGUUUAGAUUGGAUAUUAGCAAGAAAUUAUUUUCUGUGAGGGUGGUAAGGCCCUGGAACAGGUUUUCCAGAGAAGUUGCAUUUAUCCCAUCCCUGGAAGUGUCCAGGGCCAGGAUGGAUGGAGCUCUGAGCAGCCUGGUCCAGGGGAAGAUGUUUUCCCACAGCUGGGGGUUUGGAAGGAAAUUACUCUUAAGGUCCUUCCCAACCCAAACCAUUCUGAUUCUGUGACUCAAAACUCUCUUUGCUCCUAAAGCUGACUCUUUACAGGCACAUUGUGGUGUCUGUUGACACUUUUUGACUCCUGUUGGGAUUCUUGGGAACUGCCUUCAGCUGCAGUGGUUCUGUGCUUAGGCAACAGAGGUAGAAGGAAAAAAUAGACUUUGCCACAACAUGACCUUUUUCACUCAGCAGUUCUGCUUUGCAGAAACAGUUUAAAGGGAAGAACAUUAUUGUGUGGUAAAGUGUGGUUCCUUAUGUGAAAUCACGUGGAGGUGACAGAGACUGGUUCAGCUUGGUGUCAGUAGAGGUGGUGUUAAAUUUGAGGAAGGAAGUGAAGGCUUCAGUCCUCCAUUACCUUAUGUCUUGCAGUGUUGAGAGAGUAGAUAUUUUUUCCUGUUUAACUUGGUAAUAAGUAGGGAAUGGAACAAAAGAGCAGAGGUAAACAACUGUACACUGAGUAGAAGUUUCUUCAGAGUGGCUGCUGGAACUUGCAAGAGCCACUCCUGCUGCAAAGGAAUCUCAGUGGAGAAGGGCAGUAUAAGCAGAAACUCUGUAGAAGCCUGAUCUCCUUCCUGAGAGGACAUUAAUUUAAUGUAUUUCCUGCCUGGAUAUGUACUUUCAGUUUGUUCUGUAUUCAAGUUUUAUGUAAAAACACCACUUUGGUUUCUAGAAGAGAUGGGAAACCAUUGUAACAGCUGUUCUUGUCAAGUUUAGUUUCUGACUGCACCGAAAUCCCAUAAAACCAGUCACUCUGCUUGUGUCCCAGUCACCAAGGGUUUGCUUUUUGCUGGAAUGACACACACUUGUCCUCUGCACAGAGGCAGCAUGUUACAAUAGUGCUGGAAAGCUUCCAAAGCUGCAACUGGUAAUUAAAGUCACACCCUGUCAUGAAAAUAUGCACCCUCCAGGCCUGCUUAAAAUUCAGGCUACAAAAAUGACAUCCAGUGUGAUCACCUCUGUAUUUGCAAUUUUGUUAAAAAUAUAUUUUGUUCUUUUCUGGUUGGCCUUUAGGAAGCUCUCUUGAAAAGGAGGCAGUAGGGUUUUGGAUUUUAUUUUGUUUUUAUUUUGAGGAGUGAUACGAAAAAGCAUAAGAAUGCAUAUUUAAUUUCUGGUCUGAUGCUGAUGUUUUGGUAUCCUUGAAAGAUGCUCUGAUCCUGACAAGAUUCACGUGGUGCAGAUAAAUACAUAAUUUUAUUUAGCUGUGAAACACAUGGUGGUGCUCAAUCCUAAUGUUACUAAAUGCAAAGUGGUAAUUUGACUGAAAACAUGUCAUUACAAUUCAAAGUCCAAACAGCACAAUCUUUAUAUUGAGGAAAGUGUUUCAUGGUGGGGCUCUCUGGGUUUGCACUGUGGUAAAUUAGCAGGGCAAGGAGGAAGGAAGAGCAGUGGGAAAAUUUGAAAGCAAAUGCACGUUCCCUUUCACCUUGAUGUGCACUGCUACAUCCUGGGAUGCUCCAGGGUGAAAUAAAAAGUGGCUGCAUGUCAGAUUGAUGCCUGCUGGCUCCCUUCCCGUGCCUCGUGUUCACAUCACGCAUUUCUGAUGCUUUUGUGCAACAUGCUCCUGUGCAUAAGUACCGAAGCCCAGGAGCUCAUCUCCUAAAUUGCUGUUCAUGCUCCAUAUAAGAGAGCAAAAUUCCCACUAGCAGCUCUGGGAGAUGCUGGGUAAGAGUCCUUUGAAAUCAUCAUUUAAAGCUGAAAACCGUGCAAACCUCAAAAGGUUGCUUUGAGAAUUAAGAGAUUAGAUCACAUCUCUGUGAUAAGAAGGAGUUGGAAAGCAAAAGGUGAUGACAUUGCAAGGCUGAGAGAUGCUAAAUGUUUGUUUACUCAGUGACUUUAAUGAGGGAGAGUCAGUGCAAGUGUUAAUGUGCUGUUAAUUUGAAGGGGCCAACAGCACAUAUUUCAAGAUCUUAAAAGUUUUGUUUCCCAAAUUUCUUUUUGGUUCAGAAAACUCACUUGAAUGUACAACAGCCUUUCUACCCCACUUCUAAACUGAACUCGUUUGGAAAAAAUCUAGAGCAGAACCCAUAUUCUCCACUAAGAACAGAAUAAUCUUUAAAAUACAUUUUGGUACCAGUGUAUUCUAUUCUUUGUGUUAUGCUUUUUGCUUUUCCUCGAAUGCCUCUUUUUACCAUAUCCCAUGAUACUUUAUUGCUUUUUCCCUUUCUCUGGUUUACAAUUUGUUCUCCUUUUCCCUUUGUAAACCAGUGCCCUGUCUCUGGUUUAUAAUUUGUUCUGAGCCGGUGGUAAAGGCAGUGAUGUCUGAGAAUGUCAAACUCUGCAAUUCCGAUACCACCCAAGUGUUUGCAGCCUCCUGCCCUGCUGAUCACCCGGGACUGCAGCAGAGCAGGCAGCGGGGUGUGCUGGGCACUGCCAUCCCCGUGCCCCAGAACUGCAGCUCUGAGUGCUCCCUGUGAUUCUGAGUCACUGUCACUCGGGCACAGCUCCGAGCGUUCCCAGAGCUCAGUGAUGCUGCAGGAGCUGCCAGCUCGGUUGGAGACUCGGAAAUGUCCCCAGUUUGAGGUGAAGCACAUUUUCAGGUUAUUACUAAUACAGUCUCUGUCUCAGCUGCUUUAUCAGUAAAGGGGAAGUUGGAAUAAUAUUUAUGUGGUUUCCUUACAGGAGUUUUUUCAGGAUUAUUUAGUGAAUGCUGGCACUGCAAGAUGAUAUAAAUACCAGAGGCUUGUUCCCUUGUACCAUAUGAUUUUCCACCUCCUGAAUGAAACUCUUAUUCUUCUGCCACUAUUCAGCCCAAUGAUUUUUAUUUUAUUUACUUCGAUUCUUUGUAUUCUAGAUUAUGCCCCACUGGCAAGGGAUCUUGGGAAAGAACUGUGAUGCUUUUGUUCACUGGACAAAACCUGAUUCAUCCCUUUCCUUACAUCACCACACAGCUCUCCAGCUUCCCAACACAGAGAUUGCUCUGGCUUUCCUUUAGGUAUGUUGAAAAUCACAGCAGCUGUUGAUGUGUUUGGAGUCAGCACUGUCCAGCAUUAUGAGAGGGGUAAAGAUAUAUGUAAUCAAAGGAGAGAUUUAAUGAUCAGUGAUACUGCAGGAGUGGCUUCCUGAAAAGAGUAAAAACAAAUAGGAAAUUGAGAAACCAGCUGAAUUCUGCUCUGAAAAGCAGUAGGAAUGAGAGGAAAAAUUAGGAGAUGAUGAGAAGCUAAGUGAUGGCAGGAAAUUUAGGAAAUAGGGUCGCAGAUAGUGAAAACCAGGAAUUUUUGAGAUGGGAUUCUAGAGUGAGAGUAGUUUAAUCUGAGAUAGAUGCACUGACUCUGUUGCCAUUGCCCAGUAAUGCUCCCAGUUUCUCUUCCUGGCUAUGGGUUUCUGCAGGAAUUAAACUUUAAUUAAAGUAUAUUUGUUCCUUUGUUUAGUGAAUGGGAUAAAAUUGCAAGAAGGGAACACAAAGGCUUUGGGGACUGGCUGCCAGCAGUAUUAUACACGAGGUACCAAAUUAGCUUUCACAGGCAAUCUUAAUUUUUGCAUUGAUUAACUUUUUGUCCAAUAACCUACUCAUUAAGACAUUCCUUUGCUUUUGCAUAUGUAUGUAUGAAUAUUUUUUGAAACAAUGGUUUAUAAAAAGCUUCCAAUAAAACUGCCUAUGUUAUUGUCCA